ACUCCUACGGGAGGCAGCAGUGGGGAAUUUUGGACAAUGGGCGCAAGCCUGAUCCAGCCAUGCCGCGUGAGUGAAGAAGGCCUUCGGGUUGUAAAGCUCUUUCGGCAGGAACGAAAUGGUUCGUGCUAAUACCACGGAUUGAUGACGGUACCUGAAGAAGAAGCACCGGCUAACUACGUGCCAGCAGCCGCGGUAAUACGUAGGGUGCAGGCGUUAAUCGGAAUUACUGGGCGUAAAGCGUGCGCAGGCGGUUUCUUAAGUCAGAUGUGAAGGCCCCGGGCUUAACCUGGGAACUGCGUUUGAAACUGGGAGACUUGAGUGUGGCAGAGGGGGGUGGAAUUCCACGUGUAGCAGUGAAAUGCGUAGAUAUGUGGAGGAACACCGAUGGCGAAGGCAGCCCCCUGGGUUAACACUGACGCUCAUGCACGAAAGCGUGGGGAGCAAACAGGAUUAGAUACCCUGGUAGUCCACGCCCUAAACUAUGUCAACUGGUUGUCGGGGGAUUAAUUCCCUUGGUAACGAAGCUAACGCGUGAAGUUGACCGCCUGGGGAGUACGGCCGCAAGGUUAAAACUCAAAUGAAUUGACGG
rnacentral:rRNA from 1 species